UGAGAUUUGAUAUUUACACGACACUUUAUAGGGAGGUUACUGAUCUUACUGAACCUAUUUCAUCUGACUAACAAGGCGGACUCCUGGUAUGACAAUAUUAUUGCUGCUGGGGUUUAUGAUUCCGUAUUACCAAACCGUAAACUCUGCUGGUGGUCACAGUAGCUGGAGGUUGGAGAAAUAUAGAUGAUA